UGAACCGGGGGGCUUGUUUUGCAGGCUGAGAUAAAGUAAUCUAACUUUGACCCGUUUAACCUGAUUUGGAUAAUGCCAACGUAGGAAAGUUUUUAU
rnacentral:ncRNA from 1 species